UACACUCCUACGGGAGGCAGCAGUGGGGAAUUUUGGACAAUGGGCGCAAGCCUGAUCCAGCCAUGCCGCGUGCGGGAAGAAGGCCUUCGGGUUGUAAACCGCUUUUGUCAGGGAAGAAAAGGUUCUGGCUAAUACCUGGGACUCAUGACGGUACCUGAAGAAUAAGCACCGGCUAACUACGUGCCAGAAGCCGCGGUAAUACGUAGGGUGCAAGCGUUAAUCGGAAUUACUGGGCGUAAAGCGUGCGCAGGCGGUUAUGCAAGACAGAGGUGAAAUCCCCGGGCUCAACCUGGGAACUGCCUUUGUGACUGCAUGGCUAGAGUACGGUAGAGGGGGAUGGAAUUCCGCGUGUAGCAGUGAAAUGCGUAGAUAUGGGGAGGAACACCGAUGGCGAAGGCAAUCCCCUGGACCUGUACUGACGCUCAUGCACGAAAGCGUGGGGAGCAAACAGGAUUAGAAACCCUAGUAGUCCCAUG
rnacentral:rRNA from 1 species